CUUGGGAUUGGCGUAACGGUCGGGGUCAUCCCCGAACUCGCCGAGCACCCGGGCGCCGAGCACAUCGCCGAGUCCUGGCUGA
rnacentral:sRNA from 1 species